rnacentral:lncRNA from 10 species
ACAUAAGUCAAAAGCUGCGUCAGAAGGUUCUAACUUUUGUCAUCACUAUUACCAGCAUUGUCAUCGUUAUCGUUAUCUUCGUCAUCAUCAUUACCACCGUUAUACCUGAUACUGCCAUAACAAUCAGAACAUUAUGUACAGGCACGGCAUAUCUUCCCAAAGAUCUUGGCCACUAUGGACUACGAUCUUUAUUUUUCUUGGAGUGGCGGCAAUCUUGGGAGUAACCAUUGGUCUUCUUGUUCAUUUUCUGGCAGUUGAAGACUUACUAUUAUCAAGGUGAUUUUCAUAUUUCUGGAGUCACAUACAAUGAUAAUUGUGAAAACGCAGCUUCACAAGCCAGCACAAAUCUAAGCAAAGAUAUUGAGACUAAGAUGUUAAAUGCAUUUCAAAAUUCCAGUAUAUAUAAGGAAUAUGUCAAAUCUGAGGUCAUCAAACUUCUGCCUAAUGCCAAUGGUUCAAAUGUGCAGUUACAGCUGAAAUUCAAGUUUCCUCCAGCAGAAGGAGUUAGCAUGAGGACUAAAAUCAAGGCUAAAUUACAUCAGAUGUUGAAAAACAACAUGGCAUCCUGGAAUGCAGUUCCUGCUUCCAUUAAACUCAUGGAAAUCAGCAAGGCUGCUUCUGAAAUGCUUACCAACAACUGUAAGUUAAGGACCUUUUAAUUAUAAAUUUGAUGGACUCACAGGUAUUUUCUCAUUAUUUUUCUAUUAAAAAUACUUGAAAUAUGUCAUGUGGAAAUCCCAUAACACGCUUUCCGAAUUACUAGAUAUACCAGAUAUUGACUUAGAAUUUCUCUUUGAAAAACACUGGUCUAUUAAUUUUAACAUUUAUUAAAAAAUAUAUAAAAAGUUAAAUGAAAAUUGAUUCCAAAUAAUAAAACUGUGAGUGAAAAAUAUCAUAUUUGAAUAUGUUAAAAUGAGAAAGAUUGAAGGAAAUGACAAUUUAGGAUAAGAAGAAAAUAUAAAACCAGGCUAUAUAAAAUAUAUUUAUUAAAGAUAAAAACAGUUCUGCAUCUUAAAAAUUAUUAUUAUUUUUUGCUUUAGAGGUGGGAUGUUGCUAUGUUGUGUGGGCUGGAGUGCAAUUCACAGGUGCAAUUACAGUGGACUAUAGCCUGGAACUCUUGGGCUCAAGCAGUCCUCCUGCCUCAGCCUCCCAAGUAGCUGGGCCUAUAGGAGCAUAUCGCUGUC